rnacentral:rRNA from 1 species
UACGUAGGGGGCGAGCGUUGUCCGGAUUUAUUGGGCGUAAAGAGCUCGUAGGCGGUUCGAUAAGUCGGAUGUGAAAUCUCCACGCUCAACGUGGAGGGGCCAUUCGAUACUGUCGUGACUCGAGUCCGGUAGGGGAGUGUGGAAUUCCCGGUGUAGCGGUGAAAUGCGUAGAUAUCAAGAGGAACACCUGAGGUGAAGACGGGUUGCUAGGCUGACACUGACGCUGAGGCGCGAAAGCCAGGGGAGCAAACGGG